CUUCUUCUUUCAUCUUCUUCAUAAUUCAACAUCAUCUUCAUCAUCACAUUCUUUUAACAGCCCAUAAAAAAUUUCAAAAACAAAAAAAAUAAGAUUAACCUAAAUUCUUAUUCUUUCAUUCACUCAUUCAUCACAAAAAAAAAAAAAAAAAAAAAAAUUUUCCUUUCUUUCAUUUCACACCUAUCACUCCUUUAUUUUUUUUCCUUUCUUUCAUUUCCUUCUCUCUCACGUGAAAACAAUAUUCUUCUUCUCUCCCUUUUUGAACCACCACUACCACCGGUAACUUCUCAGCGUCGUUCCGGGCACCUCAAGCACAGAUCGUAAAAACAAAAAUCACCAUUGAACUCCUCUCUUUCUUCACUUCCGAAAACAUCCAUAUUAUUUCUAGAUCCGUGAGAUUUCAAAAAGUUCAAUCACUACCUUCUCUCUCACUUUCUAGCCACCAUGGACCAUAUUUUGAGAAACUAAAUUGAUAUUCUUAUUCCCCAUAAUUUCUUCAACAAAACCCCUAAGUUUAUUUCAUGAUUGGGAAAUUUUUACCGACGACCAUAGCGCCGGAGUUCACCUCCACCGCGCCGGAUUUCAUGAUUGAGGUCAAUAUUGAUUCUGGAAUUUGAAAGAGAGGGGUCUGAGAAUUGUUAAGGGUGUGUUUGGCUGUGAAGAGAAAUAGGUGAGAGAGAGUAUGAAAAGAGAGAAAUAUGUGAGAAAUAGAGUAGAUUUGAUAGAUUGUUUGGAAUAAGAGAAAGAUAAGAGAAAUAGAGAAGAGAUUUACAAUGAUUUAACAAAUUGACAAAAAAGCCCUUACCUUAUAAAGUCAUCUUUAUAAAAAAAUUUGUCAAAAUGUUAAUUAAUUAUUUCAUUUCCUAGUGUUGCUAUUAUCAAAUUAGUUGACUAAAUAGGAUAAAAAAAAAAAAAAAC
rnacentral:lncRNA from 1 species